rnacentral:rRNA from 1 species
CCUACGGGAGGCAGCAGUGGGGAAUUUUGCGCAAUGGGGGGAACCUUGACGCAGCGACGCCGCGUGGGUGAUGAAGGCCUUCGGGUUGUAAAGCCCUGUUGGGGGGGAAGAUAAUGACGGUACCCCCUGAGGAAGCCCCGGCUAACUACGUGCCAGCAGCCGCGGUAAGACGUAGGGGGCGAGCGUUGUCCGGAAUUACUGGGCGUAAAGGGCGUGUAGGCGGCUUUUCAAGUCGGCUGUGAAAUUCCCCGGCUUAACCGGGGGGGUGCAGUCGAAACUGAUGGGCUUGAGUGCAGGAGAGGGUGGUGGAAUUCCCGGUGUAGCGGUGACAUGCGUAGAUAUCGGGAGGAACACCGGUGGCGAAGGCGACCUCCUGGCCUGUUACUGACGCUGAGGCGCGAAAGCUGGGGGAGCAAACAGGAUUAGAUACCCUGGUAGUCCCAGCUGUAAACUCUGGGUACUAGGUGUGGGGGGCUUCGAUGCCCUCUGUGCCGUAGUUAACGCAUUAAGUACCCCGCCUGGGGAGUACGAUCGCAAGGUUGAAACUCAAAGGAAUUGACGG